rnacentral:rRNA from 1 species
UGCCUGGUAGCGGGGGAUAACUAUUGGAAACGAUAGCUAAUACCGCAUGAAAUUGCUUAUCGCAUGAUAAUUAAUUGAAAGAUGCAAUUGCAUCACUACCAGAUGGACCUGCGUUGUAUUAGCUAGUUGGUGAGGUAACGGCUCACCAAGGCGACGAUACAUAGCCGACCUGAGAGGGUGAUCGGCCACGCUGGGACUGAGACACGGCCCAG